rnacentral:rRNA from 1 species
AUACGGAAGGUCCGGGCGUUAUCCGGAUUUAUUGGGUUUAAAGGGAGCGCAGGCGGAGAUGCAAGCGUGACGUCAAAUUUCGGGGCUCAACCCCGUCUCGCGUCGCGAACUGCGUCCCUUGGUUGCGGGAAGGGGAGGCGGAACUCGUGGUGUAGCGGUGAAAUGCAUAGAUAUCACGAAGAACUCCGAUCGCGAAGGCAGCCUUCCGGCCCGUCAACGACGCUCAUGCUCGAAGGUUCGGGUAUCAAACAGGAUUAGAUACCCUGGUAGUCCGCGCAGUAAACGAUGGACACCCGCGGUUUGGCCUGUAUGGCUGAGCCGCCAAGCGAAAGCGUUAAGUGUCCCGCCUGGGGAGUACGCCGGCAACGGUGAAACUCAAAUGAAUUGACGGGG